GCAGAAUUUUGUCCUAUGUCUAGGUUUGCUGAAUCUAGACUAGAGUCUAGAUUUAGAUCUAUAUUACAACGUUUUUCCUAGAUAUAAAAAUCUAGAUUCUAUUAACACUAGAUCUUAAAUAUAUCAAUGUAAAUUCUGAUGCUAGACUCUAGAUCUAAGGGCAAGGGUAUUUUGUUGUUUUGCUGCCAGAACGCCUGGUCAGGCUGGUGAGCUCUUCUGCUAUUUACGGCAACAGAUAGGCUCGCUAUCGCUUACAACUCGCUUACAACCGCAACUUGUGAAGAGUCGAUCUGUAAUUUUUCUCCCUUUCAAGACCAAUAAACAUCUUGCUGUUUAAGAUCAUCAUCAAGAUUGAAGAUUUAGAUUGUAAAGAUGGGUUCUAUCACUUGCCCUCAUAAAUGGUGUGUUGACUCUUCAGUGUUUUAAUAAAUCUUUGUUUAACAUUGUAAGACUAUGAUUGACAUUAUCAGAACUUGUUUAUAAUAAGAGGAAAAUGGUAAAUUUUGUCAACAAUAGGCUUAUUUAUUUAUUAAUUUUUUUUGUCAGUUUUUGGUUUUAUAUCUUUAUUAAAAACAAAUUAAUAUAUCUUAUCAAACAGC
rnacentral:sRNA from 1 species